CGUACACUCCUACGGGAGGCAGCAGUGGGGAAUUUUGGACAAUGGGCGCAAGCCUGAUCCAGCCAUGCCGCGUGCGGGAAGAAGGCCUUCGGGUUGUAAACCGCUUUUGUCAGGGAAGAAAAGGUUCUGGCUAAUACCUGGGACUCAUGACGGUACCUGAAGAAUAAGCACCGGCUAACUACGUGCCAGCAGCCGCGGUAAUACGUAGGGUGCAAGCGUUAAUCGGAAUUACUGGGCGUAAAGCGUGCGCAGGCGGUUAUGCAAGACAGAGGUGAAAUCCCCGGGCUCAACCUGGGAACUGCCUUUGUGACUGCAUGGCUAGAGUACGGUAGAGGGGGAUGGAAUUCCGCGUGUAGCAGUGAAAUGCGUAGAUAUGCGGAGGAACACCGAUGGCGAAGGCAAUCCCCUGGACCUGUACUGACGCUCAUGCACGAAAGCGUGGGGAGCAAACAGGAUUAGAAACCCCAGUAGUCCCAUG
rnacentral:rRNA from 1 species